UACGAAGGGGGCUAGCGUUGUUCGGAAUCACUGGGCGUAAAGCGCACGCAGGCGGAUCGUUAAGUCAGGGGUGAAAUCCCGAGGCUCAACCUCGGAACUGCCUUUGAUACUGGCGAUCUUUGAGUCCGGGAGAGGUGAGUGGAACUCCGAGUGUAGAGGUGAAAUUCGUAGAUAUUCGGAAGAACACCAGUGGCGAAGGCGGCUCACUGGCCCGAUACUGACGCUCAUGUGCGAAAGCGUGGGGAGCAAACAGG
rnacentral:rRNA from 1 species